rnacentral:snoRNA from 1 species
CAGUACUAUUCACAAAGGUCACCUGAUCUCCAAGUGCAAGCAAAAGCAAUAUGGAGAGAUUCUGACUGCUCAGGUUAGCAAAGUCUCUGCAGCUGCCACUCGCCUUUCCUAUAACC